rnacentral:rRNA from 1 species
AGUUCGAAGAGCGUAUAUUAUAGUUGUUGCGGUUAAAAAGGUCGUAGUGCGCUGUCUGCUGAGGAUGACCGGUCCGCCCGCUGGGUGUGUAUCUGGCUUGGCCUUGGCAUCAUUUUUAUUUUGAAGAAAUUAGAGCGUUUCAAGCAGGCAUUCGCCUUGAAUACAUUAGCAUGGAAUAAUAAGAUAUGACCUUGGUUCUACUUUGUUGGUUUUCGAGAACUGAGGUAAUGAAUAGGGAUAGUUGGGGGCGUUCAAAUUUAAUUGUCAGAGUUGAAAUGCUUGGAUUUGUUAAAGACGGACUACCACGAAAGCAUUUGCCAAGGAUGUUG